AGCAGCCGCGGUAACACGUAGGGGGCGAGCGUUGUCCGGAUGUAUUGGGCGUAAAGAGCUCGUAGGCGGCUCGGUAAGUCGGGUGUGAAACCUCCAGGCUCAACCUGGAGACGCCACCCGAUACUGCUGUGGCUAGAGUCCGGUAGGGGAGCGUGGAACUCCUGGUGUAGCGGUGAAAUGCGCAGAUAUCAGGAAGAACACCAGCGGCGAAGGCGGCGCUCUGGGCCGGAACUGACGCUGAGGAGCGAAAGCGUGGGUAGCAAACAGG
rnacentral:rRNA from 1 species